rnacentral:rRNA from 1 species
GACGAACGCUGGCGGCGUGCCUAAUACAUGCAAGUUGAGCGAUGAAGAUUGGUGCUUGCACCAAUUUGAAGAGCAGCGAACGGGUGAGUAACGCGUGGGGAAUCUGCCUUUGAGCGGGGGACAACAUUUGGAAACGAAUGCUAAUACCGCAUAACAACUUUAAACAUAAGUUUUAAGUUUGAAAGAUGCAAUUGCAUCACUCAAAGAUGAUCCCGCGUUGUAUUAGCUAGUUGGUGAGGUAAAGGCUCACCAAGGCGAUGAUACAUAGCCGACCUGAGAGGGUGAUCGGCCACAUUGGGACUGAGACACGGCCCAAACUCCUACGGGAGGCAGCAGUAGGGAAUCUUCCGCAAUGGACGAAAGUCUGACCGAGCAACGCCGCGUGAGUGAAGAAGGUUUUCGGAUCGUAAAACUCUGUUGGUAGAGAAGAACGUUGGUGAGAGUGGAAAGCUCAUCAAGUGACGGUAACUACCCAGAAAGGGACGGCUAACUACGUG